GAUGAACGCUGGCGGCGUGCCUAAUACAUGCAAGUCGAGCGAACAGAUGAGGAGCUUGCUCCUCUGUCGUUAGCGGCGGACGGGUGAGUAACACGUGGAUAACCUACCUAUCAGACUGGGAUAACUUCGGGAAACCGGAGCUAAUACCGGAUAAUAUCUUUAACCGCAUGUUUCAAUAGUGAAAGACGGUUUUGCUGUCACUUAUAGAUUUAUCCGCUCCGCAUUAGAUAUUUGGUAAGUUAACGGCUUACCAAGGCAACGAUGCGUAGCCGACGUGGGAGGGUGAUCGGCAAAACUGGAACUGAGACAGGGUCAAGACUCCUACGGGAGGAAGCAGAAGGGAAAUUGCCGCAAGGGGGGAAAGCAUGACGGAGAAAGGCCACGUGAGGGAUGAAGGUCUACGGAUCGUAAAACUCGGUUAUUAGGGAAGAACAAAGGGGUAAGUAAAUAUGCACGAAGUGACGGUAACUAAUCAGAAAGCCACGGCUAACUACGUG
rnacentral:rRNA from 1 species